rnacentral:ncRNA from 1 species
AUAAACACGAUGAUUGGGAGUAUUAAGAAGUAAGUAUGCUAGAGAGAGCUGUCGUUUGGUGAAAGAUAGCGCAUAUCACUUCCCAACUCGCCUAGGAGUGGUUAGGUAGAAAGGUAUAUCUAGACGGUUGGCUCACGUCAUUGAGCUUAAGAAGGUUCGUUAUUCUAACGAAUGAAGAAGAGUGGUACCACGAUAAAUCCUAUCGUCUCUUUU